GCUGAUCCAUCUCCUCUCCAAUGGCUCCUAACCGUUUCAUCGCCGGUGGCGCAGUUUGAGGCAGAUUAGAUCGGAUUCCUUACCUCCUCCCCACUCUCAGGCUCCCAGAUCAGCUCACGGCCGUCCUCCUCCACCCCCACCCCCACUCCCUCUCGUGAUUCAGCACUAGCUCUCAGAGGUCAUGGAUCCUCGCCUCCUUCCCGGCCGGCCGCUUCUGGUUCUCCGAACAGGCCACCCCACCAUAGUUCUUCGUUCUUCAGGGACAUUGUCUAUGAUGGGGAAGGGAAUAUUCUUGAAGAAAAUUUAAUAGAUCCAAUUGACAUUACUGUGAAAAGGAAGAUAGUUGCUGUGAGGGAUAAGCUAGAAGAUCUCAUACGAAAUUCCAAAUGCUCCAUGGACGGAAUUGAAUUCCUGCACAAUAGUUUGUGUAGCACUGAGUUGGUUUAGCCCAACUAGUUUCGGCCGUACCAUGCAAUACACAAGAAAAUGAGGAGUCGUGUAUUGGGAGCAUCAUUCCAAAGCAUGUUACCAUCCUCACACCUAAGGAUAUCAAUGCAAGGGGCACAUGCUCUAGAAUAAAGGGGCAUAGGGAUGGUGUGAGGAGUGGAUCUGGUGAGAAGAGAAGGCCUGGAAUUCAUCAAAAAGUCAUGCGCAAAUGCAGCAUUUGUAAGGAAAUGGUGUUUCAUGAUGCAAGAACAUGUUCUAAGAAACAAACGACAAAGGUAGAUCGAGCUGAUCAAGUGUAUGAGAGCCCAUGGAGGUUGUCAUCUCUUUCCCAGCAGGAAGCUCUAUUGCUAGGAAGCACUAACAUGAGGCAAAACGACAAAUAUUUUUGGUCUUGUACCAGCAAGAUGCUUGUUGGGCGAUGAUAAUUUUAGUCUUUACCACUUGGUCUUGUCGGCCAUGUACUAAAAAUGAUCUGUAUGCCUCAUGUACCCAAGUACUCAAAUGCUUGCUGAGCACAGAUAAUUUCAGUCCUUAAUUUGCUCUACUUCCAGUUUGACAUGUAUGCGUGGUUCUACUUGCCUCUUCGUGAUGUGUUCUCAUGUACUGAAAUGCUUGCCGAGCAGCUAUAAUUUCAAUCCUUAGGUUGCUAUAUUUCCAGUUUGACAUGUACGUGUGAUUCUACCUGAUCCGGGAUGGCUUAUUAUCCCAUGUGCUCAAAUAUUUGU